AAAACGGCCCUCCUAAGGGCCAUUUCUGCUUUUAAUUUAUAAACGU
rfam:Stegodyphus mimosarum contig44031, whole genome shotgun sequence.